rnacentral:misc_RNA from 1 species
GAUGAAGAACGCAGCGAAAUGCGAUAAGUAGUGUGAAUUGCAGAAUUCAGUGAAUCAUCGAAUCUUAGAACGCACAUUGCGCCCCUUGGUAUCCCGAGGGGCAUGCCUGUUCGAGCGUCAUUUCACCACUCAAGCCUGGCUUGGUGUUGGGCGACGUCCUCUUUGGGGACGCGCCUCGAAACGCUCGGCGGCGUGGCACCGGCUUUAAGCGUAGCAGAAUCUUUCGCUUUGGAAGUCGGGGCCCCGUCUGCCGGAAGACCUGCUCGCAAGGUUGACCUCGGAUCAGGCAGGGAUACCCGCUGAACUUAAGCAUAUCAAUAAGCGGAGGA